rnacentral:tRNA from 1 species
AUUAGAAUAGCUUAAUUAAUAAAGUUUAACUUUGAAGAAGUUGUGAUAGAUAAAAUCUUUCUAAUA